rnacentral:rRNA from 1 species
GGGUAUCCCUGAGGGUAUAUUUCUCUGAGUAUCGUUUCAACACAAUCUCGUCUGCGUACUUCUGGAAACGGAAGCAUGCAUGACGGUGAAUGAGCUGUCUCGGCGUAAGUCGAGUCGCUUGAAACGAAGCAUUUUGCAGUCGACUACGUUCUAUCCUAACCGAUAGGCUAGUUGAUGUUUGAUAAGUGACUUCGGUCAUCUAAUCUAUCACAUCAAUUAGUUAGUAAUCGAAUUUGCGAAUGUACAAGGAACUCCAAAAAGAUUUCGGUCUUUUUGAUCUUGAUCUCAGAUGAAGUAAGAGAACCCGCCGAAUUUAAGCAUAUUAUUAAGCGGAGGAAAAGAAACUAACAAGGAUUCCCCUAGUAACGGCGAGUGAAGCGGGAAGAGCUCAAAGUUAAAAUCGGUGUACCUAGCGGUAUUUCCGAAUUGUAAUCUAGAGACACUCAGUCAGCUUCGACCCGGGUAUAAAUCUUUUGAAACAAGGUGUCAUAGAGGGUGAGAAUCCCGUCUUUGACCCGGAGUUCGUGGCGUACGAU